UUUGAAAAAUGGUGUAAUUAGAAGGUAAAAAUAGAGUUUAGUGGUCUAAUGUACCCAAAAAAAAAACUUUAGUGACCAAAUUAGACAAUUGCUAAAACUUUGAUGUGUUUUCCCUCCUUUUUCUCUUGUCUAUUGCCAGCUGCCCCAUCUACGUUCGUUUUCUUUAUGCCACCUAGCAUGUCACCUAUUCUUCACUGCUUCCCUCGAUUAACAAGAAAUGCUAUCUCCAUCUACCUAUCGCUUGUGAUAUUCCUUUCCGAUCAAUAAACUUCUUCAUCUCCGAUAUCCAUCUCUUCUUUCCCAUCUACAACUCAAACCCUAAAACUCUUAUUAGUGUCAAUGACUACUGUCAUCUUGCAUUUAUGUUAGGGUUAAGAUUGUAGAUGAAGAGGGCAACUCACAAACAACAAAGCUUUUGACAAAUGGGACCAAAUUGAGCUCAAGCUUGGUAAAUCAAUCAGUGAAAACCCAUGUUUUCUUUCCUUCUUCGCCUCCUCGCAAACAGCAAAAAAGCAUCGAUACAGAGCAAUUUGAUGUCAUCCUAAGAAAGCCCUAAAGCUUUAGAGGGCGUGUAUGGUUUUCUAUAAGCACGUCUCUUUAAAUGGUUUUCUAGACAGGCUUUUCUUUCUUUUUCUGUCUUAGAAAAUUAAAAUCUUCUUAUUUAAAGUCAGUCCUUGACCGCCUCAUGCUUCGGUCAGGCAUCGAACGGCUGUUAAUACUUCCCCCACCUCACGCCACCGUCAAAGCUUCGUGUAUGCCUUCUUCACUCAUUCUUCAUCUUCACCUCAGCUUCACACCAUGUCUAUAAGGCGGUCUUCAUGGGUUUUGAAAAAUACGGUCAACACCUGCCAGGCUUCUGUCAUUCUUGCUUCAGGCUGAGGCAGGAUACUUACUUCACAGUGGGUUUUGCUUCAUUUUCGGCGUUUCCCCCAAAGCAGCUUGUCAUCUCCUCUUCCUUAAAGAAACAUGUCCACUAAUUAAAUUAAUAUGUGUAUCCUACACCGCCUUUCCUCCGGACGACAACUCUUCCUUUUUCUUUUUGAAGAAUUGUGUGAAUGUAAGCAUAUGACUCUCUUAAUUUAAACUCAAGGAUGUUCAAAGUUGGAGACUGAAGAUGGUCGACUUAAUAGCUACUAUGAUGUAAGUGGAUACACUUCGUUGGAUACUUUCUUCUUGAUGAAAUGCAUGUAAACUGUUUGAAACAAAAUGCCUGGAUGAGAUUUCAGUUGAAUAUUGAUCUGAGAUGGUACAUAAUUAAGCCAUGAAACAAUAUCAAAAUUAGAAGUCAGAAGCAGAGCAAUCCUUUCUCUUGUCAUCACAUAAUAAGUAAUGAUAUUAGAUGAAGGCGUGGCUUGUCAUUUGAAUGGGAAGCCGCGAGUGCCAACCUUUGAAACAUGACUUGCAUUACUGGAAAAUAUCAACGCAGAUCAAGAAAGCGUUCUUUAGGAUGCUACUUUCCAAAUGUGAAAAGGAGUUCUAGAGAAAAAGGAAUCGGAUGAUACGUAUGUUAAAAAUAUGAAUUUUAUUUUCAUUUUUUUUAUGUACAUAUAUUUCAUCUCUAUAUCUUAUUUGCAUUUAGGUUUGUAAAGCGUUUACGAAUGUGGUUUGCUUUUAUUGUGACGAGACUGAAUAGAAUUUAGGCAACACAAUUUUGGGAUUCAUAUGCAUAUAAAAGCAUUUUAAUUUCAUUUUUCUC